rnacentral:lncRNA from 1 species
GUCAGCGGACAGUUAACCUAAUCCUUGUUCCUGCAAAGCGGUUGGUUACUCCUCCUCCUGCCGUGAAUCUCCGCAUCUGAGUUUAAGGCUGUCAGUCGUAACCAUGUCGUGCAAGUUUCGCUUUAUCGCACGUCAUCCCUUGGGAUUCUUGUUGAUUUCUAUUUCUCACCCGAGCUUUGAUGGGACUUCAAGUAUUGACUACGUCAUGGUGAUAGCCCGGUUGAGACGGUGGUUUCAGCUCGGAAUGGGAAAGAUCUUGUUGCCACUGUUUCCCGAGCUGGGGCUAGUCAUGUGAUAGUUCGUCUGCAUCGUAGGUCAGUUCGGGAGACCGCCCAUUUGGAUGGAUGAUGACCUUCUGAAUGUGGCCCCCGCCUUCUUACGGUCGGACAAUUUCUUUGUGUGUUUCGUGCCCUUACAGAAAGGUAAAUAGGUUCAACAUUGGGAAGAUGUCUACAUACAUCCCCCAUUGGAUGGUCGUCUUGGAAUUGAAUGCCCGAUAUACUCAAACACUUCAAAGAUGGACAGGCACACAAGAAAGUGAGUCAUAUAGGCAAGUUCAAACCGUGUUUAUUCCCCAGUUUGAGCUCCUCCAGAGGGAUGGCAGCUGUUGCAAUGGAACGCAGAAAUGGAUCUUGAUAUUUACAGGAAUACAAGUCAAGUAGACGUAAAGCCCUUGCAUAAAUCAUGGAAGGGUCAAAGGUGAAUGGAGGAUCAUAGUUUGACGAACUAGGUUCCCACACUUGGAGAGAAACCAAGUUUUGACAAUGGCUUCAGAAAUGUAGACACCUUG